CCUACGGGCGGCUGUAGUGGGGAAUAUUGGACAAUGGGCGAAAGCCUGAUCCAGCCAUGCCGCGUGUGUGAAGAAGGCCUUCGGGUUGUAAAGCACUUUCAGUGGGGAAGAAAGCCUUGGGGCUAAUACCCUCGAGGAAGGACAUCACCCACAGAAGAAGCACCGGCUAACUCCGUGCCAGCAGCCGCGGUAAUACGGAGGGUGCGAGCGUUAAUCGGAAUUACUGGGCGUAAAGCGCGCGUAGGCGGUCUGAUAAGCCGGUUGUGAAAGCCCCGGGCUCAACCUGGGAACGGCAUCCGGAACUGUCAGGCUAGAGUGCAGGAGAGGAAGGUAGAAUUCCCGGUGUAGCGGUGAAAUGCGUAGAGAUCGGGAGGAAUACCAGUGGCGAAGGCGGCCUUCUGGACUGACACUGACGCUGAGGUGCGAAAGCGUGGGUAGCAAACAGGACUAGAUACCCGAGUAGUC
rnacentral:rRNA from 1 species